rnacentral:lncRNA from 1 species
CUAUUUUACUAGAGCUUAAUUUUACCUACAGGGAGGCAUGUCAUAAAAUUAUGUGCCAUUUAGCUUUCCAAUCUCAUAAAUUAUAAAAAUAGAUAUAUCAUGCCAAUAUUAAUAAGAAGAAAGCUUGAAAAGCUAUAUUAUUUUCAGAAAAAAACAGACUUUAUAAAACAACAAAUCAUAAGGGACAAAAGGAGCAUUGCAUAAUUAUUAAUAGGUAAAUUCUUCAAGAAGACAUAACCAUCAUUAUUGCGUACCUACUUAAUAAUAGAGCAUCAAGAUAUGUAAAGCAAAACCUGAUGGAACUUCAAGGAAAAAUAGACAAAUCUAUGACUAUAUUUGCAGGCUUGUUACUCUAUCAGUAACUGACAAAUUCAGCAGGCAGAAAAUGUAUGAAAAUAGGUAAAGUGAACAGCAGGAGCAGUCAACUGAAUCUAAUUGACAUUUAUAAAAUACUUUAUCCAAAAUAGCAGAACACAUUCUUUGCAACAUGAGACAUUCACUAAGAUAGACCAAAUUCUGGGCCAUGUAACACACUCAAACAAAUUUAAAUAAUAAAAACCAUACAAAGUAUGCUCACAGACAAUUCAGGACAAUUUUCUAGGUGGCCCGAGUCUGACCUAGUUCUAUCUUUUCCUCUUCUUAUUUGCAGUUCUCAAGAAUAACUGUGGAAUAAUGCUGACGAUGCAACAUCCUGAGAUGAGAAAGAACUAGCCAGAACAGCCCAAGCUGUGUUCCUUUAGAAACAACAUAUCCUUCAGUGUUUUAGCCCAGGGUGUCCAAUGCCCUCCAGGUUAUAAAACCCAGGAUACACUGCUUUCUAGUUGCCUUCAGUUGUAGCGCAGGUGAAGCAUGUGCAGACACAAUUCCACCUGCCCUAAGCAGCUUCCUGAAACUUGAGGGAAUGGCUUCUCUUGAAUGCUAGACUUCUGUUGUUUCUUAUUUUCUAUGUGUAAAUAAUAAACUCAUGUUGUACAACUUCUGUCUUACUGGACUUGGGCAAGUAGUAAAAGUGCAAUUCAAGAUGCAGUGGGUUACAACAGUAACCAGUGCACAGUGAAUCUACCUAACAGAUCGCAAUGCAAUUAAACCAGAACUCAGCCAUAGAAAGAUAGCAGGAAAACCUCAUGAUGCUGAGUUAACACAUUUCUAAAUAACACAUGGAUCACAGAAGUCUCAUGAAAAAAUUAAAAACAAUAUUUUGGCCCAUAUCUACUACUCUGUCUCACCAGUUUCAGGAGCUCCCAGAUGGCUCCAUCACAUCCUCUGUCAUCCUAUGUCUUACAGGUGUACUGGGAUAUCUGUAGGAAGGAUGCUUGGUUACUCUGGAAUCCAGGGAAUGUUUUGCCUCCUUUGAAACUUAAAAAUGAGUAUUGGGAAAUGAGGGCAAAGGUAGCUGACUAGAUCCAGCCAGGAAGUUCUACUUCCACUGAAAGAUAACAGAAUAUUGAAUACACCAACAUACUUUAAGCAGAUCUCUGGAGAUAAAACACCAAGUGUCAAUAGUGAGGCAGCACAGAAAUUGAGACUGAAGAGAGAGGAAGCUGGCACUCCUGCACAUAUAUGCCAAAUGCUAGGAAUAGUUCCUGGUCCUGAACGGCUCUGAGGGAAGGGAGCAUGGCUGUGAACGUGGGGAAAUACAAAAAAAGGGUGCAUGGCUUGGUAAGUGCCUACAUGCCAGUCAUUACUCUUAAUAAGCAUCUACUGAAUUAAAGUCCAAACAAAUAUAUAUCCCUAUGAAACCAAGGGCAAGAGAUUAGUCACAAAUAAAGAUCCUGUACAUAGCCUUGGCCAUCUGAAAGCAUCUAAAAUGAAGCCAAUUGACUAUAUUCAAUUUACACUACCUCUAAAGACAAGCCCUCUCAGAUGAGAAAAAAAAAAAAA